GAUGAACGCUGGCGGCGUGCCCAAUACAUGCAAGUCGAGCGAACGGACGAGAAGCUUGCUUCUCUGAUGUUAGCGGCGGACGGGUGAGUAACACGUGGAUAACCUACCUAUAAGACUGGGAUAACUUCGGGAAACCGGAGCUAAUACCGGAUAAUAUUUUGAACCGCAUGGUUCAAAAGUGAAAGACGGUCUUGCUGUCACUUAUAGAUGGAUCCGCGCUGCAUUAGCUAGUUGGUAAGGUAACGGCUUACCAAGGCAACGAUGCAUAGCCGACCUGAGAGGGUGAUCGGCCACACUGGAACUGAGACACGGUCCAGACUCCUACGGGAGGCAGCAGUAGGGAAUCUUCCGCAAUGGGCGAAAGCCUGACGGAGCAACGCCGCGUGAGUGAUGAAGGUCUUCGGAUCGUAAAACUCUGUUAUUAGGGAAGAACAUAUGUGUAAGUAACUGUGCACAUCUUGACGGUACCUAAUCAGAAAGCCACGGCUAACUACGUGCCAGCAGCCGCGGUAAUACGUAGGUGGCAAGCGUUAUCCGGAAUUAUUGGGCGUAAAGCGCGCGUAGGCGGUUUUUUAAGUCUGAUGUGAAAGCCCACGGCUCAACCGUGGAGGGUCAUUGGAAACUGGAAAACUUGAGUGCAGAAGAGGAAAGUGGAAUUCCAUGUGUAGCGGUGAAAUGCGCAGAGAUAUGGAGGAACACCAGUGGCGAAGGCGACUUUCUGGUCUGUAACUGACGCUGAUGUGCGAAAGCGUGGGGAUCAAACAGGAUUAGAUACCCUGGUAGCCCACGCCGUAAACGAUGAGUGCUAAGUGUUAGGGGGUUUCCGCCCCUUAGUGCUGCAGCUAACGCAUUAAGCACUCCGCCUGGGGAGUACGACCGCAAGGUUGAAACUCAAAGGAAUUGACGGGGACCCGCACAAGCGGUGGAGCAUGUGGUUUAAUUCGAAGCAACGCGAAGAACCUUACCAAAUCUUGACAUCCUUUGACAACUCUAGAGAUAGAGCUUUCCCCUUCGGGGGACAAAGUGACAGGUGGUGCAUGGUUGUCGUCAGCUCGUGUCGUGAGAUGUUGGGUUAAGUCCCGCAACGAGCGCAACCCUUAAGCUUAGUUGCCAUCAUUAAGUUGGGCACUCUAAGUUGACUGCCGGUGACAAACCGGAGGAAGGUGGGGAUGACGUCAAAUCAUCAUGCCCCUUAUGAUUUGGGCUACACACGUGCUACAAUGGACAAUACAAAGGGCAGCGAAACCGCGAGGUCAAGCAAAUCCCAUAAAGUUGUUCUCAGUUCGGAUUGUAGUCUGCAACUCGACUACAUGAAGCUGGAAUCGCUAGUAAUCGUAGAUCAGCAUGCUACGGUAAAUACGUUCCCGGGUCU
rnacentral:rRNA from 1 species